rnacentral:rRNA from 1 species
GACGAACGCUGGCGGCGUGCUUAACACAUGCAAGUCGAACGGAAAGGCCCUGCUUUUGUGGGGUGCUCGAGUGGCGAACGGGUGAGUAACACGUGAGUAACCUGCCCUUUACUUUGGGAUAACUUCAGGAAACUGGGGCUAAUACCGGAUAGGAGCUCCUGCUGCAUGGUGGGGGUUGGAAAGUUUCGGCGGUUGGGGAUGGACUCGCGGCUUAUCAGCUUGUUGGUGGGGUAGUGGCUUACCAAGGCUUUGACGGGUAGCCGGCCUGAGAGGGUGACCGGCCGCAUUGGGACUGAGAUACGGCCCAGACUCCUACGGGAGGCAGCAGUGGGGAAUAUUGCACAAUGGGCGGAAGCCUGAUGCAGCAACGCCGCGUGCGGGAUGACGGCCUUCGGGUUGUAAACCGCUUUCGCCUGUGACGAAGCGUGAGUGACGGUAAUGGGUAAAGAAGCACCGGCUAACUACGUG